GACGAACGCUGGCGGCAGGCCUAACACAUGCAAGUCGAACGAGUGGCGGACGGGUGAGUAAUUUCUGGGAAACUGCCUGAUGGAGGGGGAUAACUACUGGAAACGGUAGCUAAUACCGCAUACCAUCAGAUGUGCCCAGAUGGGAUUAGCUGGUUGGGGGGGUAACGGCUAACCAAGGCGACGAUCCCUAGCUGGUCUGAGAGGCUGAACAGCCACACUGGAACUGAGACACGGUCCAGACUCCUACGGGAGGCAGCAGUGGGGAAUAGUGGACAAUGGGCGCAAGCCUGAUGCAGCCAUGCCGCGUGUAUGAAGAAGGUCUUCGGGUUGUAAAGUACUUUCAGCGGGGAGGCGUUACCCGCAGAAGAAGCACCGGCUAACUCCGUGCCAGCAGCCGCGGUAAUUC
rnacentral:rRNA from 1 species